AAUCACACUUAAAAAUGGGAGUUUGAUGCGCAUAUUUUAAUCCGCCAACGGUGUUUGCGCGUGGGAUUGCUUCACGGCUCCGGCUGGAAGACCCAAGCGCAUGAUCCGAGAAAAGAGGGCUCCAUCCCCGCCCCACUCCUCUCUCCGGUCUCCACCCGUUUGGCCCGGAUAGAACCGGUUCCCACUUCCCCUUCUGGUUUUACCCCUUCAAGGCUUCGGUAACCACCACACACCAAAAACUGCCCAUUUUACUUGAUACCUUUCUUCUCCCACCCUCCUACUCCACGGCUAUUGCUAUCACAUUUCUUUCUCCCCCCAGAAAUAAAUCCUCUCCAGGAUCAAAGCUUAUGACCUUGAUGCAGAGCCUAUGAUGAGGGCAAGUUUCAUAUGAUUUCUGUGACCCGAGAUUCUUGAUGCUGGAUCCACUGUCUUCACAGAAUGUCCUUAGCUGCUAUGUGGUCGGGAAACUUUCAUCAAAUAAGGAACAGUCUUGGGUGCAAUUGUUGUUUUAGGUUGUUCAGGCUUCAUACUGAAUUUAUUCCUGGAAAGGUGCUUGAUGCUGGAAGAUGCAACCCACGAUCUUUCACGACAAGAUCAGAAGGGAGGAAUUGGAAAUCACAGAGCAGCAAAUCAAGCAGCAUCAAUCUGAAACUUCAUGAUGGAACUGUCGGAUCAUCAACAAAUAUUAAUACAAACCAAUCACAGCUUCAUGAAUUUAAAGCCAUUCAGUGUUAUGAUCUCCAAGAAAAGAUUGCUAACCAAAAAGUCAUCAUCGACCGGUCUGCAACUAUUCUUGUGUUCGAUAUUGAGACUAGUGGAUUCAGUCGCAGGAAUGAAAGAAUUAUUGAGUUUGCACUUCGUGAUCUCAUAGGGGGCAAGAAUAGUACAUUCCAAACCCUUGUAAAUCCUGAAAAAGAUGUACUGAAUGCAUAUGUUCAUGGCAUUAGCACGUGCAUGGUCAACAGGCCUGAUGUCCCAAGGUUUAAGGAACUGGUUCCAAUCCUACUCCAAUAUGUUAGGAGCCGCCAAAUGGCUGGCAAACCAGUUCUAUGGGUUGCUCACAAUGGGCGCCGGUUUGAUGUACCUUUCAUUAUUGAGGAAUUUCAUCGUUGUUCUGAGGAAGUUCCUGCAGAUUGGCUGUUCGUAGACACACUUCCUCUUGCACGCCAAUUAGUCAAGCCGGAUGGAUCAAGACUUACCUCCUCGUCAUUGAAGGCACUACGUGAGCACUACGACAUCCCUUUAGUUGGGCCUGCACACAGGGCAAUGCAGGAUGUGACAACAUUAUGCUAUGUACUCCAGAGAAUUACUUUCGAUCUGAAGCUGACUGUUCCAGAGCUAAUAGAUAGAGCUUUCCGGGCUUCGGACAUUAUCAAGGUCCCUCCUCCCUGACAAGUGCUGCUGCAGUUCUCUAACUUAAAAUUAAGUGUAAAAGCCAAAAAUCUCAUUCAUCUCUCAAGUGAUCAUUAAGCAUUGCUGUAUCACAGUGUUCAUUCUUUUCGGCAUACUAUUUAACUUAUAUAUUGGACUGUAAACUCUGAAUAAAGUUCAGUAAUCUACCAUCUGCUCUGAAGUUUUCAACUAAAUGGAGUGUUCUAAACCUUUGUAAUUGGGAAUACCAGAGUGUUAGUUGCUGAGCGAGUUCUGACAGGAUAGGCACUGGAAUUUCCCUUUCCAUUUUUGGUUUUUAACCUGAAAGAUAAAAAAAAGCUAAAAAUUAACUGAGUGCUUUCGUUGAGAAUCGAACUCAAGACCUCCCGCUUACUAAACGGGUGCUCUAACCAACUGAGCUACGAAAGCACGACGCGAAUCAUUGGUAGUCUUCUUGUGCAUUUUGCAACCCAGAUCUCUUCCCUCCAUUUCCAACCGCUCGUGUUGCCGCUCGCGGCGAUCUCCAAGUCGCAGGCGCUCCACCGCCUCGAAGGUAAGCUCCUUCCGACCCAGCUCCCAUGGCGAUCGAUUUGAAUUCCUCCUCCGAUACUAGGGUUUUCUCACGAUCUACUAGUUCAUCUCCGAUCAUGUUACUGUUUUCCCCAAAUUAUUGGGAUCAAAAGCGAUUUGGCCGCAAAAAUUCAAGCCGGAACUCCGAGAAAGCCCAAUCUCGGUUCUUGAAUUCAUCACUGUUGUUUCAAUUUUCUUCUUAUUCCGAUGAAAUUCGUGAAGCAACGAGAGUUCGUAGGAUUCGUGGCUGUAGAAAUGGAGGGAGAGAUCAACCCGUCGGCAUCCCAGAACUCGGUGGAGGCGACGCCCAGCUCGUGCUGCUCCUUCGACGACGAUGACGGAUCGACUCCGGAGUUGGCCGGACGGAUCCCCGGCCACUGAUUCGAGAUGCAGAAGCACCAGAUCAUCCGGGAGCUCCAGCAGAUGGUCAACUGCUACAACGACUACUUCCGCCGCCUUCAGGCCGCCCUCUCCGACCUCGACCUCCUCCGCGCCGACAAUCUCCAGCGAACCGCCGACCACCUCCACCUCACCUUCCUCCUCGAGGAGCUGGAGGCCUCCGCCGCCGCUGCCACGGCCGGCCGUGAAUCCGCGACUCCGGAGGUACAGGGGAAGCAAAAGAUUGUCGGAGCAAACGGUGCGAAGGACGUUCCCAAUCCGGAUCCGGAGCCGGCACCACUGGGGGGAUCGGACGGCGGAGGCUGAAGGGCGCGACACGUGGCGGCCUGCCGAAGAGCAUCUCGAUCCGGUCACGCGGGUUCUUGGCGGUGAAGCAACCGCUGGCGGGCGAGGGCGGUGAGGCGACGCGACCCCACCGCCUCCGCCUCCGCCUCCUGUCGUCUCCGGUGCAAAAGGGGGAGGAGUGGGGCGGGGAAGUGGAGGUCUAUAGCCAGGGGAUGGCGAAGACGGAGCUGUGCAACAAGUGGGGGAAGAAGGGAUGGUGCACGUACGGGGAGCGGUGCUAGUUCGCGCACGGGAUCCAGGAACUGAGGCCGGUGAUCCGGCACCCUCGCCACAAGACCCAGCUCUGCCGCAUGCUCGGCUCCGGCGUUGACUGCCCUUACGGCCACCGCUGCCACUUCCGCCACGCCCUCCCCAGGUCCUUGUAGCCCCCAUCCCGACUUUCCUAAAAGAACAAAUUUGAUUGAUGCGGGCUGGAUGAAUAGGAGAAAGAGGCUUUGUUAUUAUAGGUUUGGAUUCUACGGUGAUUGUGGUUGAUGGCUAGCUGCCAAAUUUUCUGGCACCUCGGCCCCGGGGGCUAAGUUUAGGGCGGUAUAGACCGGUCUAAAUUAUGCUUGGCGUGUGUUGCUUGAUGGAGAUUUGGCUACUGCUAUUGGAUAGGUUCAAUGGAUUGUUGGCGGUAUGGAUGUGUAUCA